UGUGAUCUCUGCUUUCUCCUCCCUGGAUUAUAGCCACAUGAAUGAUGCCACCCAGUUAGAGAACUUAACCCGGCAAACCAGGCCUUCAUUGGCGGGAAAACAGUGUCCUCUUCAGAGUUAAAUGGAAUUAAGGCUUUGCACGUAGCAGGAUAACAUUCAACUAAACAUACAGAGGAAAACCCCUCAGAACUACACAGCCAAUCAGAACUUGUGCUCCUGCAGCAAA